AUUGAACGCUGGCGGCAGGCAUAACACAUGCAAGUCGAACGAGUGGCGGACGGGUGAGUAAUGUCUGGGAAACUGCCUGAUGGAGGGGGAUAACUACUGGAAACGGUAGCUAAUACCGCAUACCAUCAGAUGUGCCCAGAUGGGAUUAGCUAGUUGGUGGGGUAACGGCUCACCAAGGCGACGAUCCCUAGCUGGUCUGAGAGGAUGACCAGCCACACUGGAACUGAGACAUGGUACAGACUCAUACGGGAGGGAGAGCGGGGGAAUAGUGCACAAUGGGCGCAAGCCUGAUGCAGACAAGCCGCGUGUAUGAAGAAGGCCUUCGGGUUGUAAAGUACUUUCAGCGGGGAGGCGUUACCCGCAGAAGAAGCACCGGCUAACUCCGUGCCAGCAGCCGCGGUAAUUC
rnacentral:rRNA from 1 species